AGGGGAAUGAAUUAAGUCUAUCUGUCAAAGAGGAUCAGCCAGAUGGAUGCACCUACUCACUCACAAGAACCAGCUAGGCACACAGAAAGGGGGCUUCCUAGUACCUGUGCUCCCCACUCCAGGCAUCCUCGUUUAGCCCUUACUCUAGUCUAAACUCAACUCAACAAAAAAAAUCCAAGCUGUCAAGUGAAUGUUGCUGACCAAGAGGUACCGUCACCAUCAAGACAGGGCUCGGUUUCCUAGGCAGAGUAAAGAGGUUUGGAGGCGAUACUGCUGUGACAGUUCCGGAGUCAAAAUCCCCAUCUCUUUGACACUUAUCACAUGCAUAAUAGCAAUAUCUUUCCCAGCAGGCAGCCAGGUUCUGUGGCUGCAAUCAAGCUGUCUGUGGUUAGACAGCUAAUGAAACAGUGUGCCAUUCUCCAGUGCUAUUGAGGAGAAAAAACAGUAUUUACUUACUGUGAUAGCAGGGCUGCAGUAAAUAUCUUUUAACAGGAAUUAUAGUGUUAAAUAGCCAAUUAAAAGGCAAGUGUUUCCAUAUUGGGAAAAGUGGCUGUAUUCUAGGUAAUCUCUAAUGAGACUAAGCAAUCAUAUUAAGCUUAUUAAACAUUGUAGCCAAAGGCAGUAUAUUUACUAAGGGGGCGUUCGUAUCUCCUAGAGAAAUUUUGAAGAGCCUAUCAUCU